rnacentral:rRNA from 1 species
AACGAACGCUGGCGGCGUGCCUAACACAUGCAAGUCGAACGAGAAAGGGGCUUCGGCUCCGAGUAAAGUGGCGCACGGGUGAGUAGCACGUGGGUAACCUGCCUCUAAGAUUGGGAUAACUCGUCGAAAGAUGAGCUAAUACCGAAUAAGACCACAGUUCCCGCGGGAACAGGGGUCAAAGGUAGCCUCUGCUUGCAAGCUAUCACUUAGAGAUGGGCCUGCGCACCAUUAGCUAGUUGGUAGGGUAAUGGCCUACCAAGGCAAAGAUGGUUAGCUGGUCUGAGAGGAUGAUCAGGCAAACUGGAACUGAGAAACGGUCCAGACUCCUACGGGAGGCAGCAGUGGGGAAUAUUGCGCAAUGGGCGAAAGCUUGACGCAGCAACGCCGCGUGAGUGAUGAAGGCCUUCGGGUCGUAAAGCUCUGUCGGGAGGGACGAAUGCUCCUGAGGUUAACAGCCUCGGGAGGUGACGGUACCUACAAAGGAAGCACCGGCUAACUCUGUG